UUUUUGUGUAAGUGUAUUUUAUAAUUGUUAGAUUUAUAUAAAAAGUUUUAUAUGUUUAUAUAGUAAUUUUAUAAUUUUAUUUUGAGGAAAUUAAAGUGUUUAAAGCAUGAAUGUUUGGUUGAAUGAUGUAGUAUGGAAUAAUAAAAAUGUAAUAGAAUUUGUUUUAAUGGUUGGUUUUAAAAUGUUAUUAAAUUAUUUUUAAGAAUAGUUGGGGGUAUUUGUAUUUAACAGCAAGAGGUGAAAUUCUUAGAUUUGUUGAAGAUAAAUUAUUGCGAAAGCAUUUAUUAAAAAUGUUUUUUUAAAUUAAGAACAAAAGUUAAGGGAUCGAAGACGAUCAGAUACCGUCGUAGUCUUAAUUAUAAACUAUGCCGAUUAGGGAUUAGAUGUUUUUAAUUAAAUGAAUUGUUUAGUAUUUUUAAAGAAAUCGAAGUUUUUAGGUUUUGGGGGGAGUAUAGUUGCAAGGUUGAAACUUAAAGGAAUUGACGGAAAGGCACCACCAGAAGUGGAGUAUGCGGUUUAAUUUGACUCAACACAAGAAAUCUUAUUAGGUCUAGACAUAUGAAGGAUUGACAGAUUAAUAGUUUUUUUUUGAUUUUAUGGGUGGUG
rnacentral:rRNA from 1 species